CUUGCGCAGAGCUCGAGUCCCCUGCAGAACUGGAGGGUGAUAGAGGACGGCGAUUCUUUACCUUUAGGCUAUGGGAGCCUGAGGACUUUUAAACUGUAAGUAGGCUUCUUAGCCUAAUCCCUCACUCCUGAUAAUCUAGUCAUUAUGCAAAGAGACUCUCACAGCCCCACCAUUAGGCCACUGAGGUAUAGAUCUCCUGAGUUUCCUGGUUAAUUCUCUGUCCCCUGCUGUCUGCACAGGGCCACCCCCCUGCUUCUCCAGCUUCUGAGGGCAGUAACAAUGGAGACUCACAGUUGCAUUUGGUUCCUCUCUGUCCGUGAGCCAGACGUGUUUGCACUCACCAUUGAUUUGGUGGGUUCCUGAAGAUUUCUAGUCCUGUCUUAUUGUGGUCCCAGAUGAUCUCCUUUUCCGUGCAGAUUUUGUUAAUAAAGCUUUAAGAUUGAUAUCUAAA